rnacentral:rRNA from 1 species
UACGGGAGGCAGCAGUGGGGAAUAUUGCACAAUGGGCGAAAGCCUGAUGCAGCUAUGCCGCGUGUAUGAAGAAGGCCUUAGGGUUGUAAAGUACUUUCAUCGGGGAGGAAAAACAAAACUAAUAAUUUUAUUUCUUGACGUUACCCGAAAAAGAAGCACCGGCUAACUCCGUGCCAGCAGCCGCGGUAAUACGGAGGGUGCUAGCGUUAAUCAGAAUUACUGGGCGUAAAGAGCACGUAGGUGGUUUUUUUAAGUCAGAUGUGAAAUCCCUGGGCUUAACCUAGGAACUGCAUUUUGAAACUGAAAUACUAGAGUAUCGUAGAGGGAGGUAGAAUUCUAGGUGUAGCGGUGAAAUGCGUAGAUAUCUGGAGGAAUACCUGUGGCGAAAGCGGCCUCCUAAACGAAUACUGACACUGAGGUGCGAAAGCGUGGGGAAAAGCAAACGAGGAUUAGAUACC